GUUAAUAAAAGUACUAAUCUCAUCUCUCUGGCGGCUCUGCUCCCAAGUCUGCAUCUUUCUCUCUUCAGUCGGAUCUCAAAAGUAUCCAUAAACCGAUCCAUCUUCUCCUUCUUCUUCAACGAUUCAAUCCAAAUCCCUAAUUUUCUCUGCAAAUCUAUACGUACAGUAUAUCUGUAUCUAUCUAUUUUCCUCUUAAAUAAGCACCUUUGAGUUGUCACUAUCAUUUAUGGCUUCUUCUCCUGGCAAUCCGAACCAACCAGGUGGUACUGGUACUGGUACUGGUACUGGACCAUUUGAUAUACACAAAUUCUUCAAACCCUCAACCCCAACAAACCCUAAUCCCCAAAACCCUACUUUAAUUCCAUCCCCUUUUCCACCUCCAAACGCUUCUUACCCACCACCCACCGUCGCCGGAGUCGGACCCGGUGGGGUUUACCCGUACCCACCUCAGACUACAACCCCUUUUCAUCAUCACGCUCAAUUCACUCACCACUUGCCGCAAUACAGUACACCGCAUGAUACCCAGUUAAUGCAUCAGCAGAGAUCCAUGUCUUUCCCCACUCCACCACUUCAACCACCACCACCUACUAGUAGUCCUCAUCAAUUCCCUAACCCUAACCCUGGUGCUAGGCUUAUGGCACUGUUGAGUGCCCCACCGUCUACUAUGGAAGUUCCGAUACAGUCCACUAUGCCUAUGCCUCCCAUACAACCUACUACUUCGGGGUCUGAGCUUUCGGAUUUCUCUUCUGGACCGAAUGUUGGCGUUGCUCAUUCGGGUCCGGGACCAAUGAGAAUGCCGAGCAGUAAGUUACCUAAAGGGAGACAUUUGAACGGUGAUCAUAUUGUUUAUGAUAUAGAUGUUAGGUUUCCUAGUGAGGUGCAGCCACAGCUGGAGGUUACUCCUAUUACUAAGUAUGGUUCGGAUCCCGGUCUUGUAUUAGGCCGGCAAAUUGCAGUUAACAAAACCUAUAUAUGUUACGGAUUGAAAUUGGGGGCUAUUCGGGUUCUUAACAUUAAUACUGCAUUGAGAUCAUUGCUUAAAGGUCUUGCGCAGGUUGGCUAUUCGGAUUCUCAAAGCUUCUGCCUUUUUCUGUUUAUUUGGAUUUCUUAGCUAGUACAUGCUGGAAUAUCAUUAUUUAUCUGUUAUACAAACCUUAUAGGCAUAAUGCUACAAUUUAUGCUAGUUGCCAAUCGUAAAUGUGAUGAUGGUGGUAAUUGUGGG
rnacentral:lncRNA from 1 species